ensembl:lncRNA
AAUGAAACAAAUUACUGAGUAUCCUCUAAUUAAUAAAGCUGGCUGUUAUAGUGUUAUUUUAAAGUGUAAACAUGAAUACUGAUUGGUUUAAUAAAAACUGGAAACAACUGGCCAUUCACAGGGGGCUGAUUAAAUAUAACUAGUUGCUCCGUGGCAUGUGGAAAUCUUCUGAACCAGGAAUCGAACCCAUAUCCCCUGCAUUAGUAGGCAGCUUCUUAUCCACUGUGCCACCAGGGAAGUCCAAAAGUGAAAGAAAAGUGAAAGUUGUUGUGUCUGACAUGGUGAUCCCAUGGACUGUAUCCCUCCAGGCUUCUGCCCAUGGAAUUCUCUAGGCAGGAAUACUGGAGUGGGUUUGCCUGUUCCCUUCUCCAGGGAAUCUUCCCAACCCAGGGAAUCAAACCCAGGUCUCUUUACUGUCUGUGCCACCAGGGAAGCCCGGGGAAAUCCGAGUAUAAUGUUAAAUGGCCUUUACUGAAGUAAGUUCCUUCUGUAUCAGCUUUGUUGAGUUUUAUCAUGACUGACUGUUCAAUAUUGUUAAAUACUUUUUUCUGUCUGUUGAAUGACUGUGAUUUCAAUCCUUCUAUUAACGUUGAUCACACUGAAUGAUCUGCAAAUAAUGAACUAUUCUUGUGUCCCUGGAGUACCUCCCACUUGAUCCUGGUAUACUGUUGGAUUCAGUUUGCUACUCUGUGUGGAUUUUUGUGUCUUUAUUCAUCAGAGAUAGUGGCCUGUAAUUUUCUUUUGUAGUCUUUAUCUGUUUUGGUACAAGGGAAAUCGUGGCCUUGUAGAAUCAAUCUGGGAGUAUUCCAUUCUGUUACUGGAAUAGUUUGAGGAUAGGUAUUAGCUUUUCUUUAUGUUUAGAAUUCCUUUGUGAAGCCUGGAGUUUUGGUUUGCUGGGUUUUUUAUUAAUUACAAAUUCAAUUUCGCCACCAAUGAUUGGUCUGUUCAGAUUGUCUUGAUUCAGUCUUGGUGGGGUAAGUUUCUAAAAAUUUGUGCAUUUCUUCUAGGUUGUCUGAUUUGUUGGCAUAUAACUAUUUGUGGUAUUCUGUUUUUUUUGUAUCUCUAGUAGUUCUCCUCUUUCAUUUAUUCUAUUUGGGUCCUUUCUUUUCAGUGGUGCUGCUGCUGCUGCUGUCGCUUCAGUUGUGUCUGACUCUGUGUGACCCCAGAGACGGCAGCCCACNNNNNNNNNNNNNNNNUGGGAUUUUCCAGGCAAGAGUACUGGAGUGGGUUGCCAUCGCCUUCUCCACUUCUCAAUAAGCCUGGCUAAAGAUGUAUCAAUUUUAUCUUUUCAAAAAACAAGUGCUUGGUUCAUUGAUGUUUUCUAUUGUUUUCUGGACUUUAUAUUUCCUGUCUUAUUUCCUUCCAUAUGCUAAGUUUGGGCUUUGUUCCUUUUCUAAUUCCUUUAGAUGGUAGAUUAGGUUGUUUACUUGAAAUUUUUUUUUUUGAGGUAGGCCUUAUAUUUGCUAUGAACGCCCAAUAAUCACUAUGAAAUUUGCCAGUCUGGUUUGAGGGGUGAGAAGAGUCUUUUUUAAUUUGUCCUCCUUUUUGGUAUCUGAAUUUUUUAUAAUAUGCUUCUGUGAAUUUUUUAAUUAAAAACAAAAUAAAAUUAAAAACAAAGUUAAAAAAAUUUUUUUAAAGUCACAGUAAAACCAGUCAACCUGACAGGUACUUAAAAUAUGAAUGAGAGUAAAUGCAGACUACUUAGGAGGAAUAAUUUUCUAAAAUUAGUUAAUUCUCUCAUUUUCGGAUAACUGUCAAGAUUUAUUUCUGUAAGUUCCCAUUCUUUUGGUUCACAGAACUUUAAUAAUACCAGACAUGGACUUUCUGAAGAAUUAUAUUCAUAGCCACACAAAUUUGAGAGAUUAAAAGAAAAGAAUGUUAGUUAUAUGUCUUCAAUUUAUAGCUUAACUAUAUUGGAAGUUCACUGGCAGAGUGUUGAAUGAAAAUGUCCAUAGUUGGCCGUUCCCAAUUACUUAAUAGUUUUCAUGAUUAAGGGGAAAGAGUUAGCCAGUGCUUCUUAAAACCUGGAAAAAUGUAAAUUAACUUAAGUCUUUUGGCAGUUGCAACAGUUGAAUAUUUGAUGGUAGUUUCUGAAAAGCUUUUAAUUAUUCCAAACUUUGAAUAAAUGAGACCUCGAGGUAAUUACCUCAAAGUUUGUAUGAAAUUGUAAUAAUGAGUUGUUUUUUAUUUUAGUCAGAUAAAAAAAAUCUGUGUUCUUAAAUAUAGCAUUAGUUUCAUUUACAAAUACUAUUUCUGAAACAGUUCUCUUACCAAAGCCUGGGAAGAUAACACAACCAAAUACAAUAUUCUUUGGAUACCUCUACUAGCUCAGGUUUUCACAUGGAAAAGUACAGUGAUAUGGAAAUACAUUUUAUUAUCAAACUUCUUUGAGGAUAUUUACAAAAAGUGGGAUAUAAUUAAAAAUGUACUAAACAAUGUCAUUAUA